rnacentral:antisense_RNA from 1 species
AAUAACCAAAUAUAACAUUUGGGCUAAGAGUCAAGUUGGUAAUUUUUCUUAUAUCUACCCCUCCGGAGCCUAGGUAUCAUAUACGACUCCAAAUUAAAGAGUCUUGAAUAUUAAAGGAAAAACACCUAUACUUAACAAAAUUAAAUGAAUACCCAAAAUUAUGGUCAUUUUAUUUCUAUCUUUCCA